CACGUAGGCACCAAGCGUUGUCCGGAUUUACUGGGCGUAAAGGGCGCGUAGGCGGUCCUUCAAGUCAGGCGUGAAAGCCCCGGGCUCAACCUGGGAACCGCGCUUGAGACUGGCGGACUCGAGUUCGGGAGAGGAUGGUGGAAUUCCCAGUGUAGAGGUGAAAUUCGUAGAUAUUGGGAAGAACACCGAUGGCGAAGGCAGCCAUCUGGACCGACACUGACGCUGAGGCGCGAAAGCGUGGGGAGCAAACAGG
rnacentral:rRNA from 1 species